UGGGGAAUUUUGGACAAUGGGCGAAAGCCUGAUCCAGCAAUGCCGCGUGCAGGAUGAAGGCCUUCGGGUUGUAAACUGCUUUUGUACGGAACGAAAAAGCUUCUCCUAAUACGAGAGGCCCAUGACGGUACCGUAAGAAUAAGCACCGGCUAACUACGUGCCAGCAGCCGCGGUAAUACGUAGGGUGCGAGCGUUAAUCGGAAUUACUGGGCGUAAAGCGUGCGCAGGCGGUUAUGUAAGACAGAUGUGAAAUCCCCGGGCUCAACCUGGGAACUGCAUUUGUGACUGCAUGGCUAGAGUACGGUAGAGGGGGAUGGAAUUCCGCGUGUAGCAGUGAAAUGCGUAGAUAUGCGGAGGAACACCGAUGGCGAAGGCAAUCCCCUGGACCUGUACUGACGCUCAUGCACGAAGGCGUGGGGAGCAAACAGGAUUAGAUACCCUGGUAGUCCACGCCCUAAACGAUGUCAACUGGUUGUUGGGAAUUAGUUUUCUCAGUAACGAAGCUAACGCGUGAAGUUGACCGCCU
rnacentral:rRNA from 1 species